UGGGGAAUAUUGCACAAUGGGCGCAAGCCUGAUGCAGCCAUGCCGCGUGUGUGAAGAAGGCCUUCGGGUUGUAAAGCACUUUCAGCGAGGAGGAAGGUGGUGAACUUAAUACGUUCAUCAAUUGACGUUACUCGCAGAAGAAGCACCGGCUAACUCCGUGCCAGCAGCCGCGGUAAUACGGAGGGUGCAAGCGUUAAUCGGAAUUACUGGGCGUAAAGCGCACGCAGGCGGUUUGUUAAGUCAGAUGUGAAAUCCCCGGGCUCAACCUGGGAACUGCAUUUGAAACUGGCAAGCUAGAGUCUCGUAGAGGGGGGUAGAAUUCCAGGUGUAGCGGUGAAAUGCGUAGAGAUCUGGAGGAAUACCGGUGGCGAAGGCGGCCCCCCUGGACGAAGACUGACGCUCAGGUGCGAAAGCGUGGGGAGCAAACAGGAUUAGNUACCCUGUAGUCCACGCUGUAAAACGAUGUCGAUUUUGGAGGUUGUGCCCCUUGAGGCGUGGGCUUCCGGAGCUAACGNGUUAAAUCGACCGCC
rnacentral:rRNA from 1 species